rnacentral:rRNA from 1 species
UACGUAGGGCGCAAGCGUUAUCCGGAAUUAUUGGGCGUAAAGGGCUCGUAGGCGGUUUGUCGCGUCUGCCGUGAAAGUCCGGGGCUCAACUCCGGAUCUGCGGUGGGUACGGGCAGACUAGAGUGAUGUAGGGGAGACUGGAAUUCCUGGUGUAGCGGUUAAAUGCGCAGAUAUCAGGAGGAACACCGAUGGCGAAGGCAGGUCUCUGGGCAUUAACUGACGCUGAGGAGCGAAAGCAUGGGGAGCGAACAGG